AACUGUUAGGGGUGUUCCUCACCUUAUGGAGAAAACAACGGCAAUAGGCACUGCCCGUGGGGGAUGCGGUCGCAAAAAUGAAACUCAAAGGAAUUGAGGGGGCCCCGCACAAGCAGUGUAGCAUGUGGUUUGAUUCGAAGAAACGCGAAGAACCUUACCAGAUCUUGACAUCCUUUGACCGCUCUAGAGAUGGAGUUUUCCUCUUCGGAGGACAAAGUGACAGGUGGUGCAUGGUUGUCGUCAGCUCGUGUCGUGAGAUGUUGGGUUGCGUCCCGCAGCGAGCGCAACCCUUGAAC
rnacentral:rRNA from 1 species